rnacentral:rRNA from 1 species
ACUCAAAGGAAUUGACGGGGGCCCGCACAAGCAGCGGAGCGUGUGGUUUAAUUCGAGGCUACGCGAAGAACCUUACCAGGGUUUGACAUGCUGGUGGUAGUGAAACGAAAGUGGAACGACCCUUCGGGGAGCCAGCACAGGUGCUGCAUGGCUGUCGUCAGCUCGUGCCGUGAGGUGUUAGGUUAAGUCCUGUAACGAGCGCAACCCUCGUCGUUAGUUACAAGUGUCUAACGAGACUGCCGGUGAUAAACCGGAGGAAGGUGGGGAUGACGUCAAGUCAGCAUGGCCUUUAUAUCCUGGGCUACACACACGCUACAAUGGCCGGUACAAUGGGUAGCCAAACCGCGAGGUGGAGCCAAUCCCGUAAAGCCGGUCUCAGUUCGGAUUGUAGGCUGCAACUCGCCUGCAUGAAGUCGGAGUUGCUAGUAACCGCGCGUCAGCAACAGUGCGGUGAAUACGUUCCCGGGCCUUGUACACACCGCCCGU